rnacentral:rRNA from 1 species
UACGUAGGGGGCAAGCGUUGUCCGGAUUUAUUGGGCGUAAAGAGCGUGUAGGCGGCCGUACAGGUCAGCUGUGAAAACUCGAGGCUCAACCUCGAGACGUCGGUUGAAACAGUACGGCUAGAGUCCGGAAGAGGAGAGUGGAAUUCCCGGUGUAGCGGUGAAAUGCGCAGAUAUCGGGAAGAACACCCGUGGCGAAGGCGGCUCUCUGGGACGGUACUGACGCUGAGACGCGAAAGCGUGGGGAGCAAACAGG